GGAGAAGGCAAUGGCACCCCACUCCAGUACUCUUGCCUGGAAAAUCCCAUGGGUGGAGGAGCCUGGUAGGCUGCAGUCAGUCCAUGGGGUCGCUAAGAGUCGAACACGACUGAGCGACUUCCCUUUCACUCUUCACUUUCAUGCAUUGGAGAAGGAAAUGGCAACCCACUCCAGUAUUCUUUUCUGGAGAAUCCCAGUGACGAGGGAGCCUGAUGGGCUGCCCUCUAUGGGGUCGCACAGAGUCGGGCACGACUGACUGAGCAGCAGUAGCAGCAGAAGUUGACGAUUUGAUCUCUGGUUCCUCUGGCUUUGCUAAAUCCAGCUUGAACAUCUGGAAGCUCACAGUUCACAUACUGUUGAAGCCUGGCUUGGAGAAUUUUGAGCAUUACUUUGCUAAUGUGUGAGAUGUGUGCAAUUGUGUGGUAGUUUGAGCAUUCUUUGGCAUUGCCUUUCUUUGGGAUUGGAAGGAAAUCUGACCUCUUCUAGUCCUGUGGCCACUGCUGAGGUUUCCAAAUUUGCUAGCAUAUUGGGAACAGCACUUUCAGAGCAUCAUCAUUUAGGAUUUCAAACAGCUCAGUUGGAAUUCCAUCACCUCCAUUAGCUUUGUUUGUAGCAAUGCUUCCUAAGGCCCACUUGACUUCGCAUUCCAGGAUGUCUGGCUCUAGGAACAGAGCCUGAGACAAGAAUUUAAUGCCGACAGUGCAAAGUGAGGAAGGAAUGGGUAGCGUGGAGGGAAGAAAUGCAACCUUAAGGACCCACUGAACUCCUGACAAAAUACACCUUUACUUUUCUUUCCCUUUACCUAAGUUUCUAUUUUUCUAAGGUUUCCUUGAGUCUCCUUUGAGCAUUUUCUGAGGCACUUCACAUCUUACAACUAUAAAAACAAUACAGAUUAUACCGUCUAGAAAAUAGGGUCAUCCUUUAACUGGUAAACCUAUGGCUGUGUAUUGGCCAUUUAUGUUAUGCAUGAAGUAGAGAAAAGAGGAGGUGGGGGAGACUUGAAUACGUUAUAAGUCUGAUACCUGAAAU
ensembl:lncRNA